AGUGCUCCUGCUGACCUUCCGUGUCUGCAGCCCGGCUUUGGACUGUGGAGAUGCCCUCAGCCUCUACUCAGUGGCUCCAGCCUCAUAUUUGCGUGCUAUACCUUUAACCUCAAGUCCUCUUGCUGCUAACUUAAGCUGCGACUGUCCAGGACCUGCACACACACACACAUGCACGCAUGCACACACACACACACAGAAGCCCUGACUGCCGAAACCCUCCAGCCCCAGCUCCAGCCCCUCAGGAGGGGACUGCGUGGGAGGAAUGACUCCAGCAAGCCGGCAGCUGACCCGUCUCCUGCCUGCACGCCUCCCGCUGUGGUCCACUGCCGGUGGUCUUCAGCUCUCUCCUCGUCCCACCCCCAUGGUCUGCUGACAGCCCAGCUCAGUGCAUCCCUGCCAUCUCUGCUCUACCGCUGGUCCUCCCAACAACCAACUUACAGGGUUUCACUCCCGUCACCCAGACUGGAGUACAAUGGUGCGAUCUCAGCUCACUGCAACCUCUGCCUCCUGGGCUUAAGCGAUUCUCCUGCCUUGGCCUCCCAAGUAGCUGGGAUUACAGGUGCCUGCCACCACUCCUGGCUAAUUUUUGUAUUUUUUGUAAAGGCGGAGUUUCUCCAUGUUGCCCAGGCUAGUCUCAAACUCCUGAGCUCAAGCAAUCCACCCGCCUCGGCCUCCCAAAUAAGUGGAAUUAUAGGUGUGAGCCACCACGCCGGCCCUGAUGUAUCAAUAUUAAAACAUUUUCUUCAGCCUACAA
rnacentral:lncRNA from 1 species